GCCGACCCCACCGCUAUCGGAUAGGACUAAGACAUGCUAGUCGUGCGCUUCCUAGCCAAUUUGGAAGCGCGGCACACAGCUCAGUAACACGUGGCUAACCUGCCCUUGGGAUAGGAACACCCCCGGGAAACUGGGGCUAAUUCCCAAUAGGCGAAGAACUCUGGAAUGAGUCUCCACCAGAAAGGGCAUCUGCGCUAUGCUCGCAGGUGUCGCCCAAGGAUGGGGCCGCGACCGAUCAGGUUGUUGGUGAGGUAAUGGCUCACCAAGCCUUUUACCGGUGCGGGCCGUGGGAGCGGGAGCCCGGAGAUGGGCACUGAGACAAGGGCCCAGGCCCUACGGGGCGCAGCAGUCGCGAAAACUUUGCAAUAAGCGAAAGCUUGACAGGGCUAUCCCGAGUGCCAUCCGCUGAGGAAGGCUUUUACCCAGUCUAGAACGCUGGGGGAAUAAGGAGAGGGCAAGUCUGGUGUCAGCCGCCGCGGUAAUACCAGCUCUCCGAGUGGUGUGGAUGUUUAUUGGGCCUAAAGCAUCCGUAGCUGGCUAGGUUAGUCCCCUGUUAAAUCCACCGAAUUAAUCGUUGGACUGCGGGGGAUACUGCUUGGCUAGGGGACGAGAGAGGCAGACGGUAUUUCCGGGGUAGGGGUGAAAUCCUAUAAUCCCGGGAGGACCACCAGUGGCGAAGGCUGUCUGCUAGAACGCGCCCGACGGUGAGGGAUGAAAGCUGGGGGAGCGAACCGGAUUAGAUACCCGGGUAGUCCCAGCUGUAAACGAUGCAGGCUAGGUGUUUGGACGGCCACGUGCCGUUCUAGUGCCGCAGGGAAGCUGUUAAGCCUGCCGCCUGGGGAGUACGAUCGCAAGAUUGAAACUUAAAGGAAUUGGCGGGGGAGC
rnacentral:rRNA from 1 species